AUCGAUGAAGAACGCAGCGAAAUGCGAUAAGUAGUGUGAAUUGCAGAAUUCAGUGAAUCAUCGAAUCUUUGAACGCACAUUGCGCCCCUUGGUAUUCCAUGGGGCAUGCCUGUUCGAGCGUCAUUUGUACCCUCAAGCUUUGCUUGGUGUUGGGCACAUGUUCCCUCUGCUUGCGCAGAGGAGACUAGCCUUAAAACAAUUGGCAGCCGGCAUAUUGGCCUGGAGCGCAGCACAUUUUGCGCCUCUUGUCAUGGUUGUUGGCAUCCAUCAAGAUUUUUUAUCAGCUCUUGACCUCGGAUCAGGUAGGGAUACCCGCUGAACUUAAGCAUAUCAAUAAGCGGAGGAAAAGAAACCAACAGGGAUUGCCCUAGUAACGGCGAGUGAAGCGGCAACAGCUCAAAUUUGAAAUCUGGCUCUUUCAGAGUCCGAGUUGUAAUUUGCAGAGGGUGCUUUGGCGUUGGCAGCGGUCCAAGUUCCUUGGAACAGGACGUCACAGAGGGUGAGAAUCCCGUACGUGGUCGCUGGUCUUCGCCGUGUAAAGCCCCUUCGACGAGUCGAGUUGUUUGGGAAUGCAGCUCUAAAUGGGAGGUAAAUUUCUUCUAAAGCUAAAUACUGGCCAGAGACCGAUAGCGCACAAGUAGAGUGAUCGAAAGAUGAAAAGCACUUUGGAAAGAGAGUCAAAUAGCACGUGAAAUUGUUGAAAGGGAAGCGCUUGCAGCCAGACUUGCCUGUAGUUGCUCAUCCGGGCUUUUGCCCGGUGCACUCUUCUAUAGGCAGGCCAGCAUCAGUUUGGGCGGUUGGAUAAAGGUCUCUGUCACGUACCUCUCUUCGGGGAGGCCUUAUAGGGGAGACGACAUGCAACCAGCCUGGACUGAGGUCCGCGCAUUUGCUAGGAUGCUGGCGUAAUGGCUGUAAGCGGCCCGUCUUGAAACACGG
rnacentral:rRNA from 1 species